UAGGUUAACGAGGCGAACCGGGGGAACUGAAACAUCUAAGUACCCCGAGGAAAAGAAAUCAACCGAGAUUCCCCCAGUAGCGGCGAGCGAACGGGGAGCAGCCCAGAGUCUGAAUCAGCUUGUGUGUUAGUGGAACGGUCUGGAAAGUCCGACGGUACAGGGUGAUAGUCCCGUACACCAAAAUGCACAGGUUGUGAACUCGAAGAGUAGGGCGGGACACGUGGUAUCCUGUCUGAAUAUGGGGGGACCAUCCUCCAAGGCUAAAUACUCCUGACUGACCGAUAGUGAACCAGUACCGUGAGGGAAAGGCGAAAAGAA
rnacentral:rRNA from 1 species